AGUUGGAUAGCUGGGUCAGAUGUUGGUUUUGUUCCAAGUUUUCCAAGGAAUCUCCACAUUGCUUUCCAGAUUGGUUGCACCAGUUUGCAGUCCCACCAGCAAU
rnacentral:pre_miRNA from 1 species